GGCAAAAUUAACAUUUAAAAAUAAGAAGUGGACAUCGAAUGACUCCAGGUGCAAGAACAGGCUGACUCCGGUCACGAUGUUGUGCAGACUGGCCAGGGAAGCAGUUGACCCGACUGGCGGCGCAAGGGAGGGAGCUUGGUGCGCAGAGUCAGCUCCCCGGCGUCCUGUGACUCGUCGUCAUUUCUCUGCGAUGCUGGGGAUUUCCAGAUCACUGCUUACAGUUGUACACAAGCGCAUCCUGCUGACAGGGUGAAGAGGAGCUGAAGUCCUAUGGAGGAAGGGGCGCCUUUUUCUUCACCCAAAGGCACCGACCAGUAGCAAAGCCAGCCCUUCCCCAGGGCUUUCUGACCUGGCAGUGUGUGGCUCUCAAGAUCAGCUGUCAGAACUGAUACCAAACUUGCUGGAAGAGCUCAUGUGUCCAGCGGCUUUUUUCUUCUCAAACAUAAGUGUCGUCAUAAAGUUGAGCAAGAGGACAACUAGUAACAAUCGCGACGACCACAUGCAUGGACCAUUCUCUCCUGGUGACCACAUGCCAGCCAGAGGGUUGCCUGGUGAGCACAGGAUGAAAACACAAGAAUUUGGUGAAGAUCUUCCAUUUUUCAAAGCCCAUGAUUGUAAAGUCACUGGUUUUAGUGAAUACUCUUCUAUCGGCUGCACAUGUCCAUCCACAUGGUUACCCCAGUUAAGCUUGUACAGUGUGACUGUCUUCCUGGCCACAGCUGCCUGGGCCAAUGGGCCCUUCCUGGGAAGUUAG
rnacentral:lncRNA from 1 species